UACGAAGGGGGCUAGCGUUGUUCGGAAUUACUGGGCGUAAAGCGCGCGCAGGCGGCUAUCCAAGUCAGUGGUGAAAGCCCGGAGCUCAACUCCGGAACUGCCAUUGAAACUGUUUAGCUUGAGGAUGAGAGAGGUGAGUGGAAUUCCCAGUGUAGAGGUGAAAUUCGUAGAUAUUGGGAAGAACACCGGUGGCGAAGGCGGCUCACUGGCUCAUUACUGACGCUGAGGCACGAAAGCUAGGGGGAGCAAACAGG
rnacentral:rRNA from 1 species